rnacentral:rRNA from 1 species
UACAGAGGUCCCAAGCGUUGUUCGGAUUCACUGGGCGUAAAGGGUGCGCAGGUGGGUUGGCAAGUUCGAUGUGAAAGCCCCGGGCUUAACCCGGGAAUGGCAUUGGAUACUGUUGAUCUGGAGGGUCGGAGGGGGGACUGGAAUUCUUGGUGAAGCAGUGUAAUGCGUAGAUAUCAAGAGGAACACCAGUGGCGAAGGCGAGUCCCUGGACGAUACCUGACACUGAGGCACGAAAGCCAAGGGAGCAAACAGG